rnacentral:lncRNA from 1 species
UUUGAUAUAUUUAUAUUCAAAAUUUUCAGAUAUUGUAUCCUGUCAUCAACACAUGAGACUAUGAGGGAAUAUGCCAGAAAAUUAUUUUAAGAGCAAGACAACUGAAUAUAUAUGCCUUCCAAAGUUUUAAAAAUAUGUACAUGGAGAAGAAAGAAACAUAAACUGGUCUAAAAUUUCUAUAUAGCUUUCAAAGUUCUACUAAGUGAAGCUUAGCAGAUAACUAAUUAUCUGCAAACACAAACAAUAGGACUAAAGGCCAAAUAUCAUGUAGCAAAAAAUGAUAAUAAUCUUGAUUCUUGAAGUGCAAUAGACUAUCAGGCAGAAGAUUUAACUCUAAAAUUGACAAAUGCAAGUCUUAUCAUUUAAACAGUAGGGAGAAUGCCAUACAUAGAUGAGAUACGAACGACUUAAUAUAAGUUUGACUAAGUUUUAGGAAUAUUACAUCUGAUUAUAUAGUAGUAAAAACAGAGAGAGAACAGCCAAACAGGACAAUACCAUUGCAACCAUCCAACCUACUACUCUAACCUACAUACCAGAAUGUCCAAAGGGAGAGCUGGUGCAUAGAUAAAUAAUUGGCACGCAAGUCUGCGGACCUCCUGAAUGAGGAGCAGACAACUAUAUUGUUUUGGGGAACGACCGUGCAGG